UCUGCUCCAAUUUCUUGUUUCAGGAUUAAUAGUCUGAGCCCCAAUUGUAUUUCUUAGCUUCUUAAAACUCUUCAAUACUAGAAUAUCAGUGUCUAAAUAAAUCCCACCAAAUCUGUACAAUAACCCAAGCCUAAGUAAAUUUGAGAGGUUCUGGCCUAAAGAGACCUCUCCAGGAUUCACAUUUCCUUGCAUUAACUGGUUAUACCAAGCCUGUGCAGCAGUGUUAUUGAACAAAUAACUGAAAUCAGGAGAAAUUGCAGUCACUUUGAAUCCCUUGCCCAAAAAGGGCUUCAAAAUCUGCAUCCCAGUUCUUGAAUCCAUUGAACUGGAUACUAUAAUUAAGCAACCAUUUGGAUGUGUUUUGAAUAAACUCUGUAUGGUAAACAACUCUCUAUCCCCAAAAGACUCUAGUGAAGAAAUCCAGGUCAUGAAAAAUCGCAACUUACAAGAAAAAUUCAGUGGAUUAGCAUUGAAGAAUUCCUUCACUCUAACUGAAAAAGGCUUCACUUUGAACCCACGACCGUGUUUUCUUCUCCUUUUUGGAUGAUACACCACACUUGUGUUCACAAAAGCAACCAAGUUUGCAUUUUUAAGUAAAAGGGGAAAAUGGGUUUUCAAUUUCCCAAAGGGGCGCUCUUCUUUUACAGAUGAUGAGAGUUUUAUUGAAGAAGACAGAGAGAAGAACGAUUUUGAUUUCCCGGGGACAGUUUCCGGCGAAAAACUGGCAGGCUCGGGCGAAUUCUUUGCCGGAAAAGGAGCGUGGGUAUAGAAUGUGGCACUGUUAUAAGCUAAAAGGCAAAGCAAAAGAAGAGAAACAAAAGCAUAGAAAGAUUUCUUGGUCCUUUGCAGAUGGUAAAGAAACUGAACCAGAUAAUUACUGGCUAGUUCCAUGGCAGUUUCUGGAAAUUAAAAAAAAUUACUUUUUGGGGUUUUCACUGUUCACGAUUGAGGCUUUAUUCUUCUCAGUAAUAAAGAAGCACAAAGAAAGAGGGGGAGAGAGAGAGAGAGAGAGAGAGAGAGAGAGAGAGGAGAAAUGCGUUUUUGUUUACAUUCGUGAGGUGGGGUGGCGGCAAAAAAAAGCACGAAAAUUGAAAAGUGUUCUUUUAGGAAGAAAGUAGUGGUGGGGGCGUCGCGUGGCUCAGGAAGAGAGUUCAUGGAAGGAAACUGUUAAAAUUGUGCGUA
rnacentral:lncRNA from 1 species